GGCGGCGAGGCCGGGGGCUGUGGACCGGCCCGCCGGGGAGGGGCCAGGGAGAGGGGGGCGGCCCCUCGGUCAGCGCGGCCCGGAGUCCAGACCUGGUGCCCAGCUCCCCAGCGGGCGCCUGCCCUGGGCUGUAGUACGGGAGCCUCGGCAGUCUCGGGCGAGAGUUUCGGGAGAGGGUCCCGAGAUCCCGCCUUGCGGGGUUCGGAACCCGGCCCUGGCCCGCGACUCGGACCUACCCCGAGCAGGGCCCCGGUGAGGCCGCGGUGCCCCCGCUUUCAGAGCCCCGCCGCGCGCGGAACCGCAGGAGCAGGACGUCCACCGGCGGUUUGCGAGCGGCGGGCUCGGGAUUCUAGGCUUCUCCUAUUGUGACUAUUUGUAGUUUGUAAGUUUUUUUCUAGUGAACACUGUGGUGCUUUUUCAUUAAGAGCGGCGAUUUUUUCAAGGCGCCUGCAGAAGUUGAGCGGCCCGGCCCCGCAGUGUGAGCGGCCCCUUUCCAGACUGCAGGACUGCGCGUUCCUGGGCCCGGGACCCGGCUCCUCCUCCCUCGGCUCCCCGGCCGGCCCCGCCCCGCCCCCGCCCAUGCCCCGCCCUCCACUCCUGACCCCGCCCCUCCCCCGGCUGCGGCGAAAAUCCGGAGUGGCGGAUUGCCCUCUGCUCCGCGGGAGCCGGCUGUGGGCUCCUGCAGGAGCGGUGCCGGGGGUGCGGCUGACGCCGCUCCGCGCUCCCUCUUCUCACUCUGUCCUGGGCGAGCCACGCGGGGCAGCGCCGCGACCCCAGCCGCCGGCCCUGCCUCAGAAGCGGGUCAGGACCCGACUGAGCAUGCUCGCCCUCCAGCGCAGCGUGGCUCGACCAGGUGGACGCUGCCGGGACCCGGGGUCGGACCGCGCAGGGGAGGCGCAGGUGCGUGGUCCGGCCGCAGGUGCAGGGGACCUGGCUGGAAGGCGGGGGAGGGGCAUCUGGCCUGCAGGCUUGCCAGCCAGCCUGUCCCAGCUCUUGUCCCAGCUCUGCGUCUCUCCAGCUUCCUUCCUAAAUCACCACCACCACCUGCCCUAGGAGUGGAGCCCUUGGGUUGGAGCCAGCUGAUUGGAUGUGAGCUCUAAG
rnacentral:lncRNA from 1 species